GACGAACGCUGGCGGCGUGCUUAACACAUGCAAGUCGAACGGAAAGGCCCUGCUUUUGUGGGGUGCUCGAGUGGCGAACGGGUGAGUAACACGUGAGUAACCUGCCCUUGACUUUGGGAUAACUUCACGAAACUGGGGCUAAUACCGGAUAGGAGCUCCUGCUGCAUGGGGGGGGUUGGAAAGUUUCGGCGGUUGGGGAUGGACUCGCGGCUUAUCAGCUUGUUGGUGGGGUAGUGGCUUACCAAGGCUUUGACGGGUAGCCGGCCUGAGAGGGUGACCGGCCACAUUGGGACUGAGAUACGGCCCAGACUCCUACGGGAGGCAGCAGUGGGGAAUAUUGCACAAUGGGCGGAAGCCUGAUGCAGCAACGCCGCGUGCGGGAUGACGGCCUUCGGGUUGUAAACCGCUUUCGCCUGUGACGAAGCGUGAGUGACGGUAAUGGGUAAAGAAGCACCGGCUAACUACGUG
rnacentral:rRNA from 1 species